GAUGAACGCUGGCGGCGUGCCUAACACAUGCAAGUCGAACGGAAAGGCCCUGCUUUUGCGGGGUUCUCGAGUGGCGAACGGGUGUGUAACACGUGAGUAACCCGCCCUUGACUUUGGGAUAUCUUUAGGAAACUGGGGCUAAUACCGGAUAGGAGCUCCUGCUGCAUGGUGGGGGUUGGAAAGCUUCGGCGGUUGGGGAUAGACUAGCGGCUUAUCAGCUGGUUGGUGGGGUAGUGGCUUACCAAGGCUUCGACGGAUAGGCGACCUGGGAGCGGGGCCAGCCACAAGAGGACUAAGGGACGGACCAGUCGGCAACGGUAGGCAGUGGGCGGAAGCAUGACGCAGUGAGGGCGAGCGUGUUACGAAGGCGCCGCGUGCGGAAAGACGGCCUUCGGGUUGUAAACCGCUUUCGCCUGAGACGUAGCGUGAGUGACGGUAAUUAGUAAAGAAGCACCGGCUAACUACGUG
rnacentral:rRNA from 1 species